GACGUAGGGGGCAAGCGUUGUUCGGAAUUACUGGGCGUAAAGCGCGCGCAGGCGGUCUUCCAAGUCAGUGGUGAAAGCCUGGAGCUCAACUCCAGAACUGCCAUUGAAACUGUUGGACUUGAGUACGAGAGAGGUGAGUGGAAUUCCCAGUGUAGAGGUGAAAUUCGUAGAUAUUGGGAAGAACACCGGUGGCGAAGGCGGCUCACUGGCUCGUAACUGACGCUCAGGCGCGACAGCGUGGGGAUCAAACAGG
rnacentral:rRNA from 1 species